rnacentral:misc_RNA from 1 species
GCAAACUUGGUCAUUUAGAGGAAGUAAAAGUCGUAACAAGGUCUCCGUUGGUGAACCAGCGGAGGGAUCAUUACCGAGUUUACAACUCCCAAACCCAUGUGAACUUACCGUUCGUUGCUUCGGCGGGAUCGCCCCGGGUGCGCCUUCACGGCCAGCCCCGGAUCCAGGCGCCCGCCGGAGGACCACAAACUCUUCUGUUUUUUAGCAUUUCUUCUGAGUGGCUAUAAGCAAAAAAUGAAUCAAAACUUUCAACAACGGAUCUCUUGGUUCUGGCAUCGAUGAAGAACGCAGC